rnacentral:lncRNA from 1 species
AUGGCGCCUGGCAUUUUGCCAGAGGGAGUGGUUUGUGAAGUAACGCCAGCGAGCCAUUAAGUGUGGAGAUUCCUUAUUGGUUGACUGCUGUAUCGAGUUUAUGUUAAUUAGAUAAGCUGUGUGGAAUGUAUAAAUACCGCUCCUGUCCUACAAUAAACAGCUCCCACUCCUGUUGUAUCAAUCUACACAAGUUGCUCGUCACCCCCUGGUUAUUUUGCUGCAGCCGGACUGCAGCAGAUGGUGGCCCGUAUGGGGCCCCGGGACACUCCGGGUGUGGGGGGGGUGACGAAAAAAAAAGCUGCCCGUCCAUAGAUAGGACGGGAACAAAUCUGCUCGUCGCUAGGCAGAUAGGGCAAGAGGAAAAAUGGCCAUUUCAAGAAAAUGGAGAUUGAUGCAGUAUGUUUGUGUCUUGUUUUGUCUCAGUGUAUUGUAUUGUCUUUGUGAUGAAAAUAUGGAAGGGGUGAAAAGUAAAUUACUAAGGGAAGAAGGCACCCCACUGGAACCAAGAGCAGUUAGGGCAUGUAUUGACGGAAGCCCAGAAACUCUAGUCAGAAAGAAAAAGAAAGUUCAGAAGAAGAAGGAUUAUCAGGAAAAAAGUUGCAGCAAAAGGCUAUUACUGAAUACUUUUUGUUACCGGAGGGUGAAUCGGCACAGCAGCUGCCACGUGCGCAAGCCGGUCAUGGCGCAGCAAGGUUUUUCCAAGCGGCGGCAGCGGGCUCUUCCCGGCUCCCCCGCCCGGGGAGCAGGACGCCACUGUGAGAGCCCAAAUCCAAACCUGACCCGGAGGCACAGUCUCGCAGGCUCUUGCUCCCUGUGCCCAGUGACAGUUUGAGUCCCGGACUCUCCCCUCCCCGGGGCCAUCUGGGGCUGGCCAGGACGCUGUAGGUGGAAGACGUGGAAGACGGUCUGCGGUCUGCGUCCCUGAAGUUUGAUCAUUUACAAGGCCAGUAACUACAAUGGUUCUCCCACACCUGGAAGCUAAUGAGUAAUGAGUGCCAUUAAGGCCUAUUUCAAAUGUAAAAAACCUUGAGAUAAUGUACUAAAUUGUUCAGAAGGUUGUUUUCUUAGUGCCUGCUGGAAUACUACAGGAUUUUCUUUAGCCAUCCGGAGUUCUGCCUUCAUCCCAGUGCUGGUGAGGAUGAGGAUGGAAAAAUUUCCAGUGUUGCUGAGAACUGGACGAGACUUCAGAUCAAACUAGCUUCCUGCAGAACUUAUCUGGACUGUGAUUUAAGCUAGCUGCCUGCAGAACUUACCUGGACUGUAAUUUACCUGGACUAUGAGUUAAUCUAUUUAGACACUGCUUUACCUGGACUGAGACAACAAACUGUAAUCUACAACAAAUUGUAACUCUUUGUAUCUUUGCAAACGGUGUCAUUGCUGGUAUAAUUUUUCCAAGGGCUUCUUACAUAGAGCCAUCAAUUGGCUUGGUAUUGUGGCAUUUUGUAUCCUCCCCUUCUGCUUGUAGCAGAUUAUUUAUGGUGUUUGUGUAAAAACCACUAUGGUCGUUAUUUAAAUUAAACAAAAGGGGGAAAUGUUAGAGUCUGUAAACAAGUCUGGAUGGCGCCUGGCAUUUUGCCAGAGGGAGUGGUUUGUGAAGUAACGCCAGCGAGCCAUUAAGUGUGGAGAUUCCUUAUUGGUUGACUGCUGUAUCGAGUUUAUGUUAGAUAAGCUGUGUG